GAUGAACGCUGGCGGCGUGCCUAAUACAUGCAAGUCGAGCGAACGGACGAGAAGCUUGCUUCUCUGAUGUUAGCGGCGGACGGGUGAGUAACACGUGGAUAACCUACCUAUAAGACUGGGAUAACUUCGGGAAACCGGAGCUAAUACCGGAUAAUAUUUUGAACCGCAUGGUUCAAAAGUGAAAGACGGUCUUGCUGUCACUUAUAGAUGGAUCCGCGCUGCAUUAGCUAGUUGGUAAGGUAACGGAUUACCAAGGCAACGAUGCAUAGCCGACCUGAGAGGGGGAGCGGCCACACUGGAACUGAGACGCGGUCCAGACUCCUACGGGAGGCACCAGUAGGGAAUCUUACGCAAUGGGCGAAAGCCUGACGGAGCAACGCCGCGUGAAUGAUGAAGGUCUUCGGAUCGUAAAACUCUGUUAUUAGGGAAGAACAUAUGUGUAAGUAACUGUGCACAUCUUGACGGUACCUAAUCAGAAAGCCACGGCUAACUACGUG
rnacentral:rRNA from 1 species